UAAUAAGUGUUUUUAUGGCACUUUUUAAAUCCAUAUCCACCUUGUGUGCAAUGUCAGGUCGAUCUUCUUUCAUUGAGGAUCGACCAAACAUCAAACCUUUAAUUUUUUAAACUCUGUUGUCUGAAAAAUAUUAUUGAAUAAACAAUUCAGAAUUA
rnacentral:misc_RNA from 1 species